rnacentral:rRNA from 1 species
AUUGAACGCUGGCGGAAUGCUUUACACAUGCAAGUCGAACGGCAGCACGGGAGCUUGCUCCUGGUGGCGAGUGGCGAACGGGUGAGUAACAUAUCGGAACGUAUCCAAUAAUGGGGGAUAACGAGUCGAAAGAUUCGCUAAUACCGCAUACGCCCUGAGGGGAAAGCUGGGGAUCGUAAGACCUGGCGUUAAUGGAGCGG